UACUCUGACUAUGCUCUCUCUGCAGGUGCCAUCCUAUAGGGUAGAAGGAAAGAAAUAGGUCCGCGUCCAGACACCAUUUCUAUUCCACACUCUGACUCCCUGACAGAUGGUAAACCUGACAGCUUGUCUGGGUACAAACAUCUAGAACUCAUUCACAACGGGCAUGGAGACUGAUUCCUUGACCUGACUACUAUACAUGCGCACAAGAGCUAGAACCCUUUGACAACCUUUCCUGUGUAAACGAUGAGCCUAAUGGGCUGACAUUAACUUCUAGGCACCCCUAUACUGUCCCUCUAACGGACUGCCUCAGAUCCAUCUUAGCCUCUGAACUCUGA
rnacentral:lncRNA from 1 species